GGCGAACGCUGGCGGCGUGCCUAAUACAUGCAAGUCGAGCGAGACCUUCGGGUCUAGCGGCGGACGGGUUAGUAACGCGUGGGAACGUGCCCUUCUCUGCGGAAUAGCCACUGGAAACGGUGAGUAAUACCGCAUACGCCCUUCGGGGGAAAGAUUUAUCGGAGAAGGAUCGGCCCGCGUUAGAUUAGAUAGUUGGUGGGUAACGGCCUACCAAGUCUACGAUCUAUAGCUGGUUUUAGAGGAUGAUCAGCAACACUGGGACUGAGACACGGCCCAGACUCCUACGGGAGGCAGCAGUGGGGAAUCUUAGACAAUGGGCGCAAGCCUGAUCUAGCCAUGCCGCGUGUGUGAUGAAGGUCUUAGGAUCGUAAAGCACUUUCGCCAGGGAUGAUAAUGACAGUACCUGGUAAAGAAACCCCGGCUAACUCCGUG
rnacentral:rRNA from 1 species